UUUUUUAAUGUUAACAAUAGGUAUUAAUUAAUAAAGAGAAAAACUCCAAUAGUACAAUUACCGAGAAAAAAAAUAGGGUAAUAAACCCUACUUCAAAAAAGGAACAACCAACACUCCUGAAACACAAUCGAUUUCAAAAGCUUGAAGACUCUACUAUAUCAAGAAGCUUGGAACACCCGCUGACCACUUGAAACAAAGAAGCCUAUGCCCCCUUAAUUAGAAGUCCCAAGCCUCACCAACUCGAAUUCACAUCUAAGCACCUUCCCUUUGCAAGAAUCACACAUGUGUCGGGGCUGGGGCGACCUUCCCUUUGCAAGAAUCACACAUGUCGGGGUUGGGGCGACAGCCUGACGGUGCCCAAAUACUCUCGAUAAGCUCGUGGCGACAUCUAAAAGGAGUCGGUGAAACCAUCAGCCAAAAGUAGGGUAAAAAGAAAAGAGCGAGAUGAUGGAAGAAGGGAGAAAAACCAGAAAGGGGGCAGCCGACGAAUCAAGACAAGGAAAAAGAGAAAGAUAUCGCGAACAACUCGACCAGGAAGCUGUGUAGGCCAGAGUAGAAGAUCUUACUUCCCAAGAGGAAGGGAAAUUGCUACGUGACAGGGGAGAAGUGGCCCUCGGCAAAGCCAAUCCUGUUUUGGGCAUUAAACAAAGGAAGCAAAAUCUUCUCCUGACGAGGAAAAAAAAGUGUCUUUCAACAAACUGACAUUAAUGACCUAACUCACGGGUUGACAAGGUCUCGGAUUCCCAAAGAAGGGAAAACCCUACCUAAAAGAGGUGUAAGUGAGAAACAAGAGAUAGCGAGCAGGAGGGUAAGGAAAAAGGGCUGGAAGGUCAAGCCUCUAGGGGUAAAGAGGCGGAGGGGGGUGGUGAAGGGUGGAGGAAGAGGCAGCUGAUGCUCCUGGUGGUCGUGGCGAAGACGGCAGCUGCUGCUGCUAGACAUUAGAGACGGUGGCUGUAGCUGCAGAGUAAACCCUAGCAGAGCUCUGUUCAAGUGGGAGGGAGCUGCUGAUUGGCAGAAGAAAAGAUGGCUACUACUAGUGCUGCUCCUUGCGGUGCUGGCGAAGGCAGCGGCUACUGCUAGAUGAAGGAGACGGUGACUGCGGCUGCAACCCAAACCCUAAAACAAGGCCUCGAUCAGAGAAGAGGAGGCCAACCCCUCUUUGCAUGAUCAUGAAAUAUGCAUUGUCGAAAGCGUUUCUUGUUGGGCCGGCCGAGUGGUGCCUCGACAAUGUCUCCCUUUGCAAAUGUGCUCGGCAGUGUCUUAGCGAAGUCUGGGUUCAGGGUCUGCAUGGUGAGUUGAGUUGCUUAGGCGACUCUUGAAAGAGGAGCACCGAGGGUGUUUAGAGCCUCGCUCUUGUAUAAAUUUUUCCUCCAGACAAAUAUUUUGCCAUUAUAGAUCUCCUACUACUAUUUAUCAAAUGUCGUCAUGACAACAACUCUGAUAUCGAAGUGAAGAAGUUAUGCCCAUCAAAAGUUGCACUUUCACUUUAGAGGGAUAGAGCAAUCUUUCUCCUUCUUUAUAGAGGCUAAACUAGAAAGAAAAGGCUUUUUAUGUUCUUCUAUCCUCCCCCCUUUAUCUUUAUAGAGGCUAAACUAGAAAGGAAAAGCUUUUUAUGUUCUUCUAUCCUCCCCCCUUUUAUCCAACGGUCCACUUUUUAAUGGAGGUUUAAGAUUAUCUCAAUCACAACGUCACGUCUCUAUAUUGUUAUAUUUUUAAAUUUUUUUUUGUACAAACUGUUUUGAUACCAAAUUUUGGACGUCCAUUCUUCUAUUAAACUAGCAUGCUAGCAUGUACAAAAAAAUAUAAAAAAAAUAUUUUUAAUAAAAUAAACGGACCAAAAUAUCUUUGAAAGUUUUAAGGGAUAUUUUGAUCAUUAGUUUUUAUCGAAAAAUUAUUGUUAGUAUUUUUUAUAGGUGUACCCUAAUGAAAAGAUGGCACGUACCAAAUUUCAUAUUCAGAAAAAUUGUAUUAAAAAAAACCAAAAAUAAAAUAACAUCGGAUCUAAGAUCAAACGGUGGGUGGCUCUCUUGAUAAAAAAUAGACCGCUGGAUGAUAGGGGGAGGAUAGAACUUCUAUGUUGUUGAAAAAAUAUAAAAAUCUUUCCCAACCAGAAAAGUGUCACUUCAAUUCAGGAUUUAUUAAGAGUUAUAUUUACAUUAGAAUUCGGACCGAGGACCUCCAAUUAAAUGUGGCUUUACACCAAAUGUGGUGUAGCCUAACAAUUCCAGAUAACCUUAUCGAAGAAAAUUUACAAAGGGUUAAUUGAUUCAUCCAAUAUCAAUCCUCAACCAUAAAAACAGAAUAUCAAAGUCAAAAAGGAAAAUGACACAAACAAAGGUGUGUAUCUUUCAGCAACAAGUAAUACCAGUCAAAUUAACGAAUUGUAAUCUAUUGUUAACUUUUUCAAUUUUUUCUAGCCCAAAUAUUGGGAUGCCAAUUUUUAUACUUCUCUUCGGAAAUCCAUAAAACACUUAGAAAUUCAAACUCCUCCUCCACAAACAUUUGAAAUAGUUUUCCAUUUUUAAAUUUUCAAUUUGUCCUACCAAAAUGAUGAUCUCAUUGACUCAUUUAGGAUCCAAUAAAUUGCAGAGAAAAUCAGAAAUUGCACAGAAAAAUCAGUCGAUACAAUUCAAGAAACUCUCAAUCGAACACUCUCCAAACUAAGAUCAAUCAAAUAUGAAUAAAACCUUCAAACUAUAGAAUCAAUCUAAACUACCUGGCUGUAAAUGAAGCAAGAAAAAGAGGCUUGAGGAGAGCCGGAAAUCAUGGAGGGAUUUCUCUCACUAAAACCUAUCAAAUAAGAUAGAGAGAGUACCUUUAGAGAUGGGGCUUCAAUGGCUGUAUAGAGAGAGAUGGAGUUCCACCAAGUAGAGAGAGAGAAAGUUGGGUUUUUCUGCUGUACAGAGAGAGAGGGAGGACCACCACCUAGAGAGAGAGAGAGGN
rnacentral:lncRNA from 1 species